rnacentral:rRNA from 1 species
GGGUUGUGAGGUUAAGCGACUAAGCGUACACGGUGGAUGCCCUGGCAGUCAGAGGCGAUGAAGGACGUGCUAAUCUGCGAUAAGCGUCGGUAAGGUGAUAUGAACCGUUAUAACCGGCGAUUUCCGAAUGGGGAAACCCAGUGUGAUUCGUCACACUAUCAUUAACUGAAUCCAUAGGUUAAUGAGGCGAACCGGGGGAACUGAAACAUCUAAGUACCCCGAGGAAAAGAAAUCAACCGAGAUUCCCCCAGUAGCGGCGAGCGAACGGGGAGCAGCCCAGAGCCUGAAUCAGUGUGUGUGUUAGUGGAAGCGUCUGGAAAGGCGUGCGAUACAGGGUGACAGCCCCGUACACAAAAAUGCACAUA